AUUCACUAGAGGAUGUUGCAAUGUUGCUCUCACACCCCUUUGUUUGUUUUGGUUAAUGUUGAUAAAUGUUGAUAAACAGACUGUAAUUUGGAAAUUGAAUUCUAUGAUAUUUAUUACAGUUUACGGAUUAUGUAGAAUUAGUUAUAGGACUCUCGAUUCACAUGUCAAUUUUCGUAUAUACAAAGUUUCAUCUUUCUGUUAUGUUAGUGACCAUUUUGGGUGUAUUUUUUACCAGACUCAAGAAAUGACCUCUUUUUCGGGAAACCAACAAACUUAUGAAUACCACACUGUUGACAACUUUGAAGUUGACAAUUUUGGAGUUCGCCUGGAAAACCGGAGUUCUGGAUGUUGGUCAUCUUCAUCUGUUAAACUAGUGCAACUUUGUUGUAUAGGAAUAUUGCUUCCUAUUGUGUGGAUAAUAAUUCCUGUUUACGCAAGGUUUUUCUUGUAUGCAAAUUCAGCUGUACCAUUGGCUUUUACACAGAUGCGUGUAUUAGACUCAAAUUUCAGCACUUUUUGGUGUCAAGGCCACUAUCUUUACACCAACAUAUCCUUAAUUGAUUCCUAUUUGAUGGAUAGAAAUCCUAUUGCUUCCUAUCAAACUCAGAAAAUGACUCAUCACUUUGAAUUGGACGAUGAUCUCAAGGAAUUCUGGGGAUUCUAUUUACUCAAAGGCUCGAAACUAACGAUUAGAUCUUGUGCAAGAUAUAUGGGAGCCACCGUUAUGCUAGUUAAAGGGAACCGUUCGUUGAAUUUGCUAUCUUGUCUGAAAGAUGGCUUAAGCUCGAGUGAAGAAAUAUCUACAGAAGCCAAAGAGAACAUUACCCUGCAGGCAACAGAAAUUCUCUCUUCCCAGCAUCCAUCGAGUGAAAGGAACGCCCAAGAUACUCAAUUCACGACGAACAAUAACUUAACAAUAAACGACAGGUCAACUACGCUUUCAAAAUUAGAUGAAGAGGUGGAAGAACUUGAAAAUGGGGCUUUCGAAGUAAACGACGAAAACAUUAUCAAAGAAAAAGACAUUUUUACCAACCCUUUGAUCAGCGACGUAUCUGAGUCGGAUGAAUCGCUGACCUCAAGCUCUGAAGAGGCAUUGCUUGCUUGUGCCAGUCCUGUUAUGAAUCAGUUCGUGGUUCCCGCUGAAGACUGCAACUCAACUCGAACCAAAUACAGCCUACUUGAAUACAUAGUUGAAAACGAUGGAUAUUAUUCCAUAAUAUUUUCUAGCAACUUUGAACAAAAGGGACAAGUAAAAAAUCCCGUUUUAACAGAGUUUGAAUUACUUCAAAAUAUCUACAAUACUACGAACGCAAUUGCUUCUUGCCACAACGCCACGGAGUGCCGUUUCUCUCUUAGCUUUGCGUCUACUCAACAAGUCGUGGUGGCACUUUCUGCUCCUCAUUACGACGCUGAAGAUCCUAGUAGUAGCUUAGACACGACCUUUACCGUGGAAUCCCAGUGUAUUCCACGCACUUCGAUCUAUCUUGCAUUUGGAUUGACUUUACCACUCGUCUUAAUUCUUUGUGCCUUCCUAUGACCAGAUUUAAAUAACUGUAUAUUUAUCACUCGUCAAUUUUUAGAUAGGUUAAGAUAACUGCUCAUCAGAAGUGAUCCUCAAACUUGAUUUAUCAGGGAACAAAAUUAUCGCCUCCAUUGAUACAUUGAUACCAAAGUUGGCAAUGUUUUAAAUAUUUGCUUGCCACAGGAAGUCGCAGCGAUGGAGAUUUCCUGUUUUCUCAGCCUCUAAGUUGGGGUUGCCGUUACUACGGAUACCACAGAAAUUUACUACAGUGUAGAAGAAGCAACUGCAAUUCAGACACAGAGAGGGGGCAGUUGAUGCCAGAUGCGAAGUCUGUCAACAAUGCUCGUUGAAACCACAUAUUAUUCCUCUUUGUAUCUCCUCAAUGUUUUAAAUUUAUGAUCAGUGUCGUCUUCAAGUAUGGGAUUCUACAAUAAAGAAAUUGACCACUAAA
rnacentral:misc_RNA from 1 species